rnacentral:tRNA from 1 species
GGAGAGAAGGCUCAGCAGUUAAGAGCACUGGCUGCUCUUCCAGAGGACCUGGGUUCGAGUCCCAGCCCCUACA